GCCAGAGUGGUGUUGUGAUUUGAAUGUUGGACUGUGACUGUGAAGACCAGAGUUCGAUUCUCGGCUCGGCCA